rnacentral:rRNA from 1 species
GACGAACGCUGGCGGCGUGCUUAACACAUGCAAGUCGAACGAUGAAGCCUAGCUUGCUAGGUGGAUUAGUGGCGAACGGGUGAGUAAUACGUGAGUGACCUACCUUUGACUCUGGGAUAAGCCUGGGAAACUGGGUCUAAUACCGGAUACGACCAAUCUCCGCAUGGGGUGUUGGUGGAAAGCGUUAUGGGGUGGUUUUAGAUGGGCUCACGGCCUAUCAGCUUGUUGGUGAGGUAAUGGCUUACCAAGGCGACGACGGGUAGCCGGCCUGAGAGGGUGACCGGCCACACUGGGACUGAGACACGGCCCAGACUCCUACGGGAGGCAGCAGUGGGGAAUAUUGCACAAUGGGCGCAAGCCUGAUGCAGCGACGCCGCGUGAGGGAUGACGGCCUUCGGGUUGUAAACCUCUGUUAGCAUCGAAGAAGCGAAAGUGACGGUAGGUGCAGAGAAAGCGCCGGCUAACUACGUG